GCUGCGGAUCGUGGCUUAAAACAACCCCGGGGUCAGCAGUUCCAGAAAGGCCUGAUGAAUUAUGUUGGAGAGGAGAAGAGACUUGUGCAAAGUCACUUAACUGGAAGAAACUGAAUGCCAGGUGGAGUGCGUGCGGCAGACAUCUGAGAGGUCGUUCGCAGUCACUUCUCAUGCUCACCAAUGGCUGAGUGUCUCUGCCUGAGUGUCCUCAUGGCCCCAGGGGGAAUAGUCCUGAGAAGUCAAGCCCCAGGGAAUGCCCUCAACCUGUGAGGCAUGGGAGUUGCUGGAGCCGGAGAGAAUCACCUGGGACGGAUCACACCAGAGCCCGAUCUCCAUGGGACAGGUCUGCACAGCGGCAUCUUCAAGGGAGGACGGCAGAUGGGUACAUCGUGCCGGAGGUGAAUUUGUCUUCUGUCUCCCAUUUCGACCUAUAGGGAGAGUGUGGCUAAAAAGUAUUUUGAGAACGAGAGAAGCCUGGAUGUUCUGAGGCCCAGCAGCUGCAGCGGGUGAGAGAGAGAGAGAGAGAGAGAGAAAGUCACUACCCCCAUGCAUCCCGUCUCUAACAAAAGCCCCCUACAUUCCCCACCUGACAGGACUUUAUAGGGUAGUAAUAAAUAAGGCUGAAUUAUUGAUGAUGAGAACUGCUAAUAUUA